rnacentral:rRNA from 1 species
UACGUAGGGGCAAGCGUUGUCCGGAUUUAUUGGCGUAAAGAGCGUGUAGGCGGCCUGAAAGGUCAGCUGUGAAAACUCGAGGCUCAACCUCGAGACGUCGGUUGAAACCAUCUGGCUAGAGUCCGGAAGAGGAGAGUGGAAUUCCUGGUGUAGCGGUGAAUGCGCAGAUAUCAGGAAGAACACCCGUGGCUAAGGCGGCUCUCUAGUACGGUACUGACGCUGAGACGCGAAGCGUGGGAGCAAACAGG